GAUGAACGCUAGCUACAGGCUUAACACAUGCAAGUCGAGGGGAAACGAGAGAGAAAGCUUGCUUUUUCUAGGCGUCGACCGGCGCACGGGUGAGUAACGCGUAUCCAACCUGCCCAUCACUUGGGGAUAACCUUGCGAAAGUAAGACUAAUACCCAAUGACGUCUCUAGAAGACACCUGAAAGGGAUUAAAGAUUUAUCGGUGAUGGAUGGGGAUGCGUCUGAUUAGCUUGUUGGCGGGGUAACGGCCCACCAAGGCGACGAUCAGUAGGGGUUCUGAGAGGAAGGUCCCCCACAUUGGAACUGAGACACGGUCCAAACUCCUACGGGAGGCAGAAGUGAGGAAUAUUGGUCAAUGGACGAGAGUCUGAACCAGCCAAGUAGCGUGCAGGAUGACGGCCCUAUGGGUUGUAAACUGCUUUUAUAAGGGAAUAAAGUGGGAGUCGUGACUCUUUUUGCAUGUACCUUAUGAAUAAGGACCGGCUAAUUCCGUGCCAGCCGCCGCGGUAAUAC
rnacentral:rRNA from 1 species